GAGGCCUGCCUGCCCAGUGACAAACGUUCAACGGCCGCGGUAUCCUGACCGUGCAAAGGUAGCAUAAUCACUUGUUCCUUAAUUGGGGACUGGAAUGAAUGGCCUCACGAGGAUUCAACUGUCUCUUACCUCUAAUCAGUGAAAUUGACCUCCCCGUGAAGAGGCGGGGAUACAACAACAAGACGAGAAGACCCUAUGGAGCUUUAAUUUUCUGUCUUAGCUACUAAAUAACUAACCCUACUGGGAUAAAAAAAAGAGAAAUAAGUCAGUAAUUUCGGUUGGGGUGACCUCGGAGAAUAAGACAACCUCCGAAUGAUUUUAACCAAGACAAACAAGUCAAAGUAUUAAAAAUCAAAUUGACCCAAUUCAUUUGAUCAACGGACCAAGUUACCCUAGGGAUAACAGCGCAAUCCUAUUCAAGAGUCCAUAUCGACAAUUAGGGUUUACGACCUCGAUGUUGGAUCAGGACAUCCCAAUGGUGCAGCAGCUAUUAAUGGUUCGUUUGUUCAACGAUUAAAGUCCUACGUGAUCUG
rnacentral:rRNA from 1 species